UUUUAAAUCGAAUAUUCGAGCAAAUCAGCGGUGAUUCUAGGGGUGAUCUAUAUGGGAUUGGGAAGAGGAGAGUGAGGUGGUUCUAUGGUGUAAAUCUGGAAGGCAUUGGGGUUGCGCCAGCGAUUGCGACGAUUUUCGUCCGGCGGCGUACGGUGGUGGUGCAGUGGUUCGAUGAUGGUGUUACACUGUCAGUUGAACUAUAC
rnacentral:lncRNA from 1 species